AUAAAUAACAUUAUAAAGUUAGAAGGAACUGGUUUCAGAGAAGGCUAAAACUUAAGGUGCUGCUGAUCUCCAUACAGAUAACAAGAAGAAAAAGCUCUCUACUGUUAAAAGUUUUUUUUUUUUUUCUACAUAAACACUUUGAGGUCAAAGUUUGGUUGAAAUGUUUUCUCCACAUUAUAACGACUGUCACCACAAUCAUCACAGGCACCACUCUCCACAACAGAGAUUUUUUAUAAAGCUUUGUCUUGAGAAGUCAGAACAUAAUUUCCCAUGGAAACAAUGUUGUAAUAGUGAGUGGGUCAUCAGGCUAGGCUUAAGUGUGUGUGAUGCAUAUUGUACCUUAACAAGUAAAAUGUCCCAGCUGCCCAGGAGCUCCAGGGAAAGAGGCUCUGGACAGCACAGUCAUCAUCAUGUGUGUGCGUUUGCAUGUGGGUGCAUGCGUGUGUGUACGUGUGUGCACAUGUGUGGGUGUGUGUGUGUGUGUGUGAGAGAGAGAGAGAGAGACUGAAAAAUAACAGAGGAAACAGAAACAUCAUGUGGCUUUUCAUUAUGACCUGUGCUGACAAAACACCUCUGACAUGGCAAUCCAGUUCAGACACAUGCAGAUUCCACACAACUGAAACAAAAGUCUCAUAGGACAAAACUUUCCCUUAAGACAAGUGAUAGGCCAAUACUUUCUCUUUUUUCAUUAAAAAAGCAGAAGAGGGAGAAGAAAGCAAGCUGAGCCUUGACCUUACACCUCACAGCUAUGGAAAAGCACCAUUCUGUUCUAAAUCGAGGAGAAAUGAAGCAUAGACAAAUUGAUGAUCACUUAAGUACACAAAUCCGCAGAAAGGCAACGUCUUCUAGUGGAAGAAAUAAAAUUGUUAACAUUUUUGGAUGAGACUACAGUCUGAAGUUCAGAUUAUGGUUCUUCUAUUAUUUUGGACAAGCUGUUAAAAUUCGUAUUCAUUUCUUAUACUUUCACUGCUGCAAUUUAUUGACUGCCUUGACAGAAUAUGAUGUAAAAGGAAAUUUCAGAAGAUUGUGACUUUUUAUAUCAGAAAAGAGGAAGAGAAACCUAUUUUGAAAGGACCUAGAAUAAUAUUAAAAAUGAAAGGCUGAAACAAAUGGCUCAUUCUUGCUUCUCAUUAUUUAAAACAAAAUACCAUAAUUAUUUUUCUAAUUUCCAGAGAAACUCCCUCACUAAUUUCAUUAUUUCAAGCCCACACCUAAGAUGAAGUUAAACUGAAGUUAACAUCAAACAGGUAUGUAUGUUAUCUAAUGUCCAUUUUUCCAGUGCUUUUAUCCUUCUCAAUUACAGAGCAUACUACAUCCUCGUUCAAUAAUAAAUAUAAAUUAGAAGACAGUAGCAUUCAAUGAAAUCACAUCGUAAUAACCACUAAUGUUUAUUAAGCACUUAAUACUUGCCAUGCACUGAGCUAAACAGAUUAUCUAAAAAGAUGAAUUUAAUCCUCAUGACAAAUAAUCCCGACAGAUUAAUGUAUUGAUAUUUUCAUUUUACAUACAGAUAAGGAAACUGAGGCCUAGCAAAAUUAUGUGGCCACACAGCUAUUAAGUGAUAAAAUCAGGCAACAUAAUGAAGUAUUUGAAAGUAACCAUAGUUAGGGACAUGAUUCAUUUCUCUCCAAAGCUAGAAAUAUGUCUGGUCAGGUACUGUGGAAAGGUCUGGUCUUCACCUGCUGCACAGCUUUAGCAGAUUUUAUAGUAAUAGUGGCAAGAUCCCUCAAUCAUUAAAGAGUAAGCAAUUGUUACUUAAGCUUUAUACCUUUAGGUAGAUUCUUUCAAAUGGAUAAACACUUACAUAACAAGAACCAAGAGUCAAAUGAAUCCCAGAGGUAAGGAACAAGUGUGAUGUGGGAGGAUAUUAGUUUUAUGAGGAUUUGAAAAACUGCAGUUAUUCCUAAGGGAGGCACCACCGGCACUUGUGUGUGUGUAUGCAAACGACUGUGUAGAAGACAAUUCCCUUUAUGUUGUACAGCGCUGUCACAUAUGUCACAAUACAUUUAGUAUCCGUUAACUGCUCCCCCUCCCAAAUACUAGAAGUUCUCUCAAUCCUUGUGACUACCCAAUAUAUAUAUCCCUACACAUGUUCUGCUGACCCUGACAGAGAACCUUGAUUGUUGGAUAAAAAUACUGGGAGAGAAGUAACUGACAUGAAUUGUACAUUGUGCUCCAGGGACUCUGCUAAAUGCAUUCACACACAUUCAUUUAAUUUUCAUAACCCUAUAUAAGUAGAUAUUUCAUCCCCAUUUUACGAGUGUGGCCCCUGAGGCUCAGAGCAAGGUUAUGCAACUUAAUUAAGGACACACAGCCAGUUUUGAAACCAAAAGUGUGGCUCAAAAACUACUCUACUCUAAGUUGGCCUUUUAAGCCAUAAUGGUGAGAGAGGUGUGACUUCCCUUUCUUUAAAGAGGUUCAUUCAGAAAGUAUAAAUCAUUCUAAGUAGGAACCACGGUGUGUACCUCCUUAUGAACCAAGGAUGAAUUAGUUCUCUAGGUUAGGAAUGAGGAGCCACAGGCGCAGUGCCAGAGUUAACAUGAGGUGUGUUCAAGAUUUGGGCUGGGCAGCUCCUAUGAACCGGUAUAUAUUAGAAUGUGUGUGUAUGUUUUCCAGGGAAUAAGAGAGUUGUGUUAUGCUGUGUGAGGUUUAUGUGUUUCAUUUAACACACAGCAGUUACUAUACCCCAGGCACCAUUAAAAUUGCUGGACAAGAUCACAUUUCAGCACGUAUGUUAGGUAAUGAGUGAGCAGGGUAUGCACCGCGUGAUGUGUGGCGGGCUGGUGUCUGUGCAGCCAUGUACACAGAUGAUGGGUAUUGGGCUGUGCUGGAAAGGAAAGGUCCGCUGUGAGGUGUGUGUUUAGAGUGGCAGUUUGUGCCGUGGUACAGAUGGUAGUGUUUGAGGCUGGGGGAAGUGUUAUGCUGGAUGACUUGUGUGCAAUGCAUACGGGAAGUGCUGCACAGGAAAGACCGUGUAUGCAGCACACAUGUGCAUUUUUUGUGCGUUACGGAUAGUGCCGAAUACCGGAGUUCCACAGGAAGGGAUCUAGGUUGUGUCCUGGGCCUGUGUAUGGUGCCUGCAGGCGCUGUGGAUUGGGGUGCUUUGUAUGUGUAGCGGUGUGUGCUGAAAGUGGUGCAUACGACAUGAUUCAUGCGGUGUGCUGGGUAGGGACGAAGGCUGGAGCAGUGCAGAGGAGGGGCCCGCGUCGUGAUGUUGUGUGGAGCGAUGCUGAGUGCGGUGGGUGAGGGGGCGAUCGUGCUAGGUGACUCGCGUGCGUUCCCCGUGUAACCGGAGGCGCUGUAUGGAGAAGGGGCACUGAGGGGUAGGGGAGCAGGCUAGCGUACUGUGAGACACCGGGCGGGCGGAGGGGCCGCGUGGGCGGCGGGCUGCCA
rnacentral:lncRNA from 1 species